rfam:Candidatus Taylorbacteria bacterium RIFCSPHIGHO2_12_FTLL_45_16 rifcsphigho2_12_scaffold_125, whole genome shotgun sequence.
GGGGAUGAUCGGCAUAGACAGCAGAUCAUGUUCAUUCGUGCGGCGUGAGCACCAUUAACUCGUAAAUCUGAUGGAAAACCUAAAUGCUAAAACAACCUCACCGUAUUUUACGGCCAAGGACUUUGCAUUCGCUCUUGCAUAAAGAGCGCGCCCGCUCCUGGGGAUUCUGACUAGGAGAUCGGGUGUUAUAACCUGAAUGUAGGGAAGACGGGGAUUCUCGACCCGUUGCCCGAAACAAAGAGAUCGCGACUGCGUGUUUCGUUCGCUUUAUAGCGUAGUCGUCAAACUUCAAAGCUUUCUACCGCCGUAGAAUCGUUCGACACAUAUCUGUUGCACCCGGGUUCGAUUCCCGGCAUCUCCACUA